rnacentral:lncRNA from 1 species
AUGGAAAAUUCAUGUUUUUUCCUGUCAUUUACUCUCUCCUGGCCUUAUGCACAGAAAAAGGAUAUGCCCAUGUUUGAUCUGGCUUGGUUCUUAUGUCGAUUCUCUGAACAUUUUAUAGGUAUUGGAUCUGGUCACAUUCACCCCCCUACAAGUCUAGAAGGGUUACUGGAUCAGUCAGAGGAAAGCAGCUGUACAAAUCAGUUAUCAGUGCUAAAUGUUUUGAAAUGAGCUGUCUCCUGAAAGAGAGCAUGGAUCUGAAGCAGUCCUCUUCUCCAGGCAGUAUAAAGUGCUGCACUGAGUCCCAACCACUGCCUUUAAGUCCUUUGAGACAAGAAAAUCAUUAAAGAAAAACCCUCUCUCAACAACAAAUAGAAAUACUACACUAUCUUUGGGAAUUCUUACCUCAAAAAGGAACCCCACUCCCUGUUAGCCAUGAACUGAAGGCCGUGGCUGACCGUGGGGACUGGGUCCGCACACUGAUGCUGCAAUAUUUGUUUCACACACCUCCUCUGACAGUUUGGCACUACAGCAAGGUCACUGUCACCAUCAGACAGCUCGGUGUACAAGGCCAUCAAAAGGGAGAGGAUGCUGGAGAACUGAUAUGGGGGAAACUAACAUCCCUUUAGCUUUAUGUCCUUUCCUACAUAAGAAAUCUUGCUAAUGCACCAGCUCUACGAGCUUUCUUUUUAAUGCUGCUCCUUCCUGCAAGUGCGCAGAAAGCCUCUAACAAAAUAUACUCACUUAUAGCUCCCAGUAGUUUUGUUUGAAGAGGUCUUGUUAAAAAUGAAACUCCUUAUUCCACACCCAAAGGGAGGUUUGAGUUAAAGACAAAUGACUUACUUAAGCCAUCUGGGAAAUACAUAUGUGCUUUGCUGUCUUGUUGAGUUCACAGCCACGCUGCUCAAAAUGAGAGGAUGGGGAGUCAUGAGCUGCUCCCGUAUCCCUCUUACAACUUGCAAACUCCAGAGCUUGCUCACUACAACAUACUGAGCACAGAAAAAACACAAACAGUUUCAGCAACUGAAACAUACACUGAGAUGUGGGAACUGUACAAACCCUCAAAGAUGCCCCCU